CUUGCCAUCCCAAACUUCAGCAAACAGCUACAUCUAUUCAUCUCCACCACCACCACCAAAGCCUUACUACUACCACUCUCCACCACCACCGGUGCACUCACCACCUCCUCCUUACCAUUACAGUUCCCCACCACCACCUCCAAAGAAGCCAUACAAAUACGCUUCUCCUCCACCUCCAGUUUACAAGUACAAAUCACCUCCUCCACCAGUGUAUAAGUAUAAGUCUCCUCCUCCACCACCGAAGAAGCCAUAUAAAUAUCCAUCUCCACCACCACCAGUUUACAAGUACAAGUCACCUCCUCCACCAGUUUACAAGUAUAAAUCUCCUCCACCACCAGUUUACAAGUACAAAUCACCUCCUCCACCGGUGUACAAGUAUAAAUCCCCUCCUCCACCAGUGUACAAGUACAAGUCUCCUCCACCACCACCUAAGAAGCCAUAUAAAUACCCAUCUCCACCACCGCCAGUUUACAAGUACAAAUCACCUCCACCACCGGUGUACAAGUACAAAUCUCCUCCACCACCAGUUUACAAGUAUAAAUCCCCUCCUCCACCAGUGUACAAGUACAAGUCUCCUCCACCACCACCAAAAAAGCCAUAUAAAUACCCAUCUCCCCCACCACCAGUUUACAAGUACAAAUCACCUCCUCCUCCAGUUUACAAGUAUAAAUCUCCUCCACCACCAGUUUACAAGUAUAAGUCACCUCCUCCCCCAGUUUACAAGUACAAAUCUCCACCACCACCACCCAAGAAACCAUACAAGUAUCCAUCACCACCACCACCAGUUUACAAGUAUAAGUCUCCCCCUCCACCUGUCUACUCACCACCACCAGUUUACAAGUAUAAGUCUCCUCCUCCACCUGUCUAUUCACCACCUCCACCAUAUAAGUACAAAUCUCCACCACCUCCUCCUUAUAAGUACCCAUCACCACCACCACCAGUUUACAAGUACAAGUCACCUCCUCCCCCAGUUUACAAGUACAAAUCUCCACCACCACCACCCAAGAAACCAUACAAGUAUCCAUCACCACCACCACCAGUUUACAAAUAUAAGUCCCCUCCUCCACCUGUAUACUCACCACCUCCACCAGUUUACAAGUAUAAGUCUCCUCCUCCACCCGUCAAUUCACCACCUCCACCAUAUAAGUACAAAUCUCCACCACCUCCUCCUUAUAAGUACCCAUCACCACCACCGCCAGUUUACAAGUACAAAUCACCUCCUCCUCCAGUUUACAAGUACAAAUCUCCACCACCACCACCCAAGAAACCAUACAAGUACCCAUCACCACCACCACCCGUUUACAAAUAUAAGUCCCCUCCUCCACCAGUUUACAAGUAUAAAUCUCCUCCUCCACCUGUUCACUCACCACCUCCACCACACUAUGUCUACUCUUCACCUCCUCCUCCGGUCUAUUCCCCUCCUCCACCACAUUACAUAUAUUCAUCACCUCCUCCUCCUUACCACUCUUAGAUAACGGUUUACCAUAGUAUCCCAUGGUAUGCUUCUUUUUUAGUACGACCAAUAUCUUUAUGAUUAAAAUGCUUCGAGAAAUACUAAUUUAUAUAUCAACAAAAUAUAUGUAUUUUAUCAACGAAACAAUUAAAUAAGAGAAUCAAAAUUAGUGAUUUGAAUAGUUUUACAUGCCAACACAUGCAAGUCGUUAUAUAGACCUCACAUUCAUUUUAUUCUUAUUAUUCUUAUAGUCUAAAUAGUACAAUUUUCUUGAAACGUCUAAAUUGACAUACAUCUUAUGGUACAGUUUACAAAAAUCAAUCUAAGCCUAUUUUAUUUCUAUUUAUAGUAUUAUAUGUAAAUAGAAAAAAUAUACAAACUAAAAGGAAAGUUGACAGUUAUGUUUCUUAUUAAUGCUUCUCACUCGUAUUGUUCUUUGAGUGCUUAAUUAAUGUGUUUAUGUGUUUGUAUAUACUUUUGUAG
rnacentral:lncRNA from 1 species